rnacentral:rRNA from 1 species
GAUGAACGCUGGCGGCGUGCCUAAUACAUGCAAGUCGAACGAAACUUCUUUAUCACCGAGUGCUUGCACUCACCGAUAAAGAGUUGAGUGGCGAACGGGUGAGUAACACGUGGGCAACCUGCCCAAAAGAGGGGGAUAACACUUGGAAACAGGUGCUAAUACCGCAUAACCAUAGUUACCGCAUGGUAACUAUGUAAAAGGUGGCUAUACUACCGCUUUUGGAUGGGCCCGCGGCGCAUUUGCUAGUUGGUAGGGUAAAGGCUUACCAAGGCAAUGAUGCGUAGCCGAAUUGAGAGGUUGAUCGGCCACAUUGGGACUGAGACACGGCCCAAACUCCUACGGGAGGCAGCAGUAGGGAAUCUUCCACAAUGGGCGAAAGCCUGAUGGAGCAACGCCGCGUGGGUGAAGAAGGUCUUCGGAUCGUAAAACCCUGUUGUUAGAGAAGAAAGUGCGUGAGAGUAACUGUUCACGUUUCGACGGUAUCUAACCAGAAAGCCACGGCUAACUACGUG